rnacentral:lncRNA from 1 species
GUAGCGAUGAACCCCUCUGGGACCUGAGCUAGGCCCACUGGAAUUGUCUGGGCCGGAACCUCAUCAUCAAACUCUACCUGAGGCUCCGCCGCUGGUGCUGCUGCUUUGGGUUGAGCUAUGCCCCUACCUCAGCCUCGCCCUCUACCCCUCGUAGAGUUGCCACUGGGGGCUCGGGCUGCUGAUCAGCUAAUGAAGCGGUACGAGUUCUCGUCAUCUGCGUAAGAAUAUAGUAGAAGUUCAAUUAGCAUUGAGAAAUCAAACCGCACGAUAGAGAUGAAUAGAAGUGAAAUUUUUCCUAACUCCGUAGCCUCUUAGGGAUAAACACAAACGUCUCCGUACCGAUCCUUCAGACUCUACUAAGCUUGUACGUGAAUUGUGAGACCUAAGCAACCUAAAGCUCUGAUACCAACUUGUCACUAUCUGAAUUCCCACUGUCAGGAUCGUGAUGGAGCCUAAUAUUGAACCCGCUAGGCAAGCCAACGUUACUAAUUAUUUUUCCUUUUUACCUUUAUCUUUGACAAUUUACCAAGUUAAUGUAAGGAAACAGCAGAAAUAGAAAUACAGAAGAACAAAAUUUAACAGUUUAACUUAAUACCAAUAUGAAAUCCAUAAUAAUACUUCACCCAAAACUAGUGUCACAAUCUCAUGGACUAUCUACGAAUACUACAAAUAGUGGUAUAAACAAAGAAAAUACAUGUCUGUCUCUGAAAUAGAUAAGAACAGAAAGAAACAGGAUAGAAGGGGAUACCAAGGCCUGCGGAUACCUACAGGACUACCUCGGGUUUCCGCUGGACUGAAGGCAGCAACCUUUAACUAUGGUCCGUAUGCUCCAGUACCGGGAUCUGCACAAAAGUGUAGAGUGUAACAUCAGUACAACUGACCCCAUGUACUAGUAAGUAUCGAGCCUAACCUCCGCGAAGUAGUGACGAGGCUAGGACACAACAAACAUCAUAACUUGUGCAGUUAAACAAUAUCUAAAAAAAUAACAAUAAUAGAAACUAAACAGAGAUUAACGAGAAGGGGCAACAUGCUAUGGGGGAUACCAACAUAAGGAAACACAGAAAUAAUGGAAUGAAACAAUUAAGGCACUUGAACCGAUAACAACAAGUAAUUACAACAAAUAGAUAAUGAAUGCACGACAUCACCCUUCGCGCUGUUACUCUCAAUCCUUACCAUGCAAUCAACAAUGAAAAUGUGCACAACAUCACCCUUCAUGUUUUAUCAAUCUUCCUCACCAUAUGAAUAUUAGAAAUGUGCACGGCAUCACCCUUCGUGCUUUAUCUCUCUUCCUAACCAUAUGCAUCAAUAUCAAUGUAAAUGUGCAUGGCAUCACUCUUCAUGCUUUAUCACUCUUUCCUCACCAUAUGCAUAAGUAUGAAUGUGCAUGGCAUCACCCUUCGUGCUUUAUCACUCUUUCCUCACCCAAAUAGUGGAAAAUAACAACAUCCUGGCAAGGGAAUCAACAAUAGAAAUAAAUACAUCUCGGCAAGGGAAUCAACAAUAGACAUAAAUACAUCCCGACAAGGGAAUCAGCUAUAACCAAUCUCGUUCUAAUAAUUAACUUCACAAAAUAAACCUCAACUUGAGCCAAUACUCAACAAUAGGCAAAUAUCGAGAAAAUGAUCGUAAGUCUUACUCAACAUGGAUAAUCAUCAAUCUAGGCAUGGAUAGUAUUUAAUAAGAAUCACAACGAUCACAAUAUAAGACUCGCGGGCAUGCUCAACACCAACGUAUAGAUGCUUGUCACUACACCUAUACGUCGUACAUAAUACUAACACAUAGCAAAUAACACAGAACACCUAUUUCCUCAAGCUAAAGUUAGACCAAACACUUACCUCGAUUUCACGACCACAAAUCAAGCCUCAAUUAUCGCUUUCCCGUUAGAUUUCACCUCUAAUAUACUUGUAUCUAGUCAUAAUUAGCUUAAUAACAUCAAUAAAUGCUAAAGAACUCACAUCAAAUGCUUAAUUAUGGUUUUUCCAACAUUUUCCCCAAAAAGUCAAUAAUCGACCUCGGGCCCGCUUGGUCAAAACCCAAAGUUCGGAUCAAAUCCCGAUUACCCAUUCACCCCCAAGCACGGAUAUGCAAUUGAUUUUGGAAUCCGGCCUCAAUUAAGGUCUAAAUCCCCAAAUUUCACCCCAAAACACCCAAUUUCCCAUGAAAAUCCCUAAAUUUUGUGAUGAAAUCUUGUAAAAAGAUGAAAUAUAUUGAAAGAAAUGAGUUAAAAGUUGUUUACCUAUGAUUUGGGGAAGAACUUUUCUUUGAAAAAUCGCCUAUGGGAGCUUAGAGUUUGAAAAUUUGAAAGAAUGAGUUGAAAUCCUGUCUAAGUUAUAAUUUACACAGUCGCAGUUAUCACAUUUGUGAUGCCAAGUUCACAAAUGCGAACUCGCAAUUGUGGCCAAGGCUUCACAAAAUGCGAAGGUUGGCCUGUCAUGCUGCCUUCGCAAAUGUGAACAUUGUUCACAAUUGCAGCUACUGUGCAUGUCGCAUUUGCGACGAUGAACUUUGCAUUUGCUAAGGUCCCCUCCCAGCCCAGUCUUUGCAAUUGCGAUGAACCUUCGCAAUUGCGGUGCUCGCAUUUGCGAGCCAGACUUCGUAAAUGCGAAGUUUACAGACCUGCAAUCACACCAGCAAUUUCCUUAAGUCUCAAAACACUCUGCGGCCUAUCUAAAAUUCACCCAAGCCCUCGGGGCUCCAAAUCAAACAUGUAGACAAGUCCAAAAAUAUCAUACAAACUUGUUCAUGUAAUCAAAUCAUCAAAAUAACAUUAACAACUACGAAUUUAGCAUCAAAAUCAAUGAAAUUCUCAAGAACACCUAAAGUUACUAUUUUUCACAACCGAGGGUCCUAUUUAUAUCAAAUCAAGUCCUAUUCUUACCAAAUUUUACAGAUUCGACUUAAACAUCAUUUUAAACCUGUACCGAGCUCCGAAGCCAAAAUACAUGCUGGUACCAUCAUAUUCCAUCAUUACUCAAUUUCCAAACUCCUUAUAUUUUUCAGUUAAACAAUUUUCUUCAAAAAUUCAUUUCUCGGGUUAGGGACCUCGGAAUUCAAUUCCGGGCAUACGCCCAAGUCCCAUAUUUUUCUACGGACCCUUCGGGAGCAUCAAAUCAUAGUUGUGGGUCCGUUUACCCAAAAUAUUGACCUAAGUCAAUUUAAAUUCAAAUUUAAAGGCAAAAUUGGUAUUUUCUCAAAUUUUCACAUAAGGGCUUUCCAGAAGCGCGCCCGAACUACGCACGCAAAUUGAGGAGAAAGAAAAUGAGGUCUUGAAGGCCUCGGAAUCUCGGAUUGAGUUCUAAAAUACGAGAUGACCUUUUGGGGUCAUCACAGUAAUGCCAUAAGUUCGACUUCAAUAGCGGAAGAGGAAAGCAGAGGCAAAGUUUAACCACAAACCCAACAACUAUCAGUACUAUGAAAAAUACCAGUUGCAGCUGCUUGAUUGUUAAGACAUGGAAUGCUCCAUCAGUAUUAAGCUUAAAAGGAGGAAUAGUGGGGGAAAGGGGUACCUUUUGAUAUAUUGAGUGUGGGAAGGAGGGGAGGGGGGCACAUGGGAGAGGUAGAUGAAUUCAAUGAGAUGAAAGCAGAUAUUGUGCACAGAAGGAAGUAUAUGGAGAUGAUUAAAAACAUUAUUAUUGCAAGCUAACCAAAUGUGCCAAAAGGUAAAAAGUAUAAGGGAUGAAGCAGGAACUACAAUAUCAUGAUAGAUGAACGAGUUCUUAGAGUGUGUGCACAAUAACUAGAGUCACUCUAUGAGGGGGCUGAUAGAAGGUUGUACGCUAAAAGUUGACCAAAUAUGAAAAAUCAUUCGACAUUGGAAAAAGAUAUGAGGUAUAUUUUCAGGUGUGUUUGGACAUUUGUGACAAUUCAAGUUAGGGAUUGUCAGACCUCCUUUUUUUCCUACACCCUCCGAAAGGGGUAUGUAUAAGGGAGUUUUUCCAAUUAAAGGACAGUCGAAACGAGAUUAUUUAUUAGAAUUCAGAGUCGCCACUUGGGAUAAUUUAUGGUAUCCCAAGUCACCUGUUCAAAUCCUGAAUUGAAGAAAAUAUUGACUCUGUAUUAUAGUCCGCGAACCAGAAAUCCGAGUAAGGAAUUCUGUUAACCCGGGAGAAGGUGUUAGGCAUUCCCGAGUUCCGUGGUUCUAGCACGGUCGCUCAACUGUUAUAUUCGGCUUAAUUAUCUGAUUUUAGUACAUUUUAAAACUAUGCGCAUUUUAAAACUUUAAUCGCUUUUAGUCAUUUUAGGAAUAUUGCAAUGUUAUUAAAACACGUCUUGAACCACGUCACAUAAAUGCACCCGCGGUAUUCGACAUAUUUUAACUAACAUUGUGAUUUUGAAUUUGGGUCACAUAAAUGCACACCGGAGUUUAGGAAGGUAAAUUAUUAACAUAACGCGCCUAAAGCAACUACGUGUUUGGACUGUUAUGCUCGAACGAAUUUAGGAUGGGUCGGGAAGCUAGGAUUCAUGGAGAAGUGACUGUGAAGGAGAUGUUAUGAAUUUCAUUAAUUUUUAACCCAUGUAGUAAUUGAAGAGAAAUUUUUUAUAUAUAUAAGAAUUGGGCUAGGCUCACUAAAUCGAGCUCAACAGAAACGACUCGACUGGCCCAUUUAAUUCUAAAAAUGCAUCUUAUCAAACCUACUCAAUUUUCCCCAAGCCAAUUUAUUAAAACAUCAAACAAAAAUAGAAUUAUUCUCGAAACUUCCAUAGUAAUUAAACUAACAUGAGUAUUAACUCCAAUUAAAGUAGGCACAUAACGAUAUUGACCAAUGAAAAUGAUUAAGCAUUUUAAAUCACAAGAAACAAUAAACAUGACGGAAGCCCGCAAAUAAAGAAUUAAACUGAACUUAAUAACAUGCUAAAAAAACUUUAUUCGUGCUCAAAUAUACACAACUAACAUAUCCAAACAGUGCAUUCGCGAAAGAGUAAAAGAGUGCAAAAGAUGAACCUUCUAUUGCUGGAGUUUCCCAAUGUUUACAACAAAGAGGAGCUCCAAAAUUGCAAAUCCAAACGAUCUACAGGCGACAACUUCGCCGAACCCAGCAACCGGAGUCCACCUCACCGGAAACUUUGACGACCUGCUACAUCUUAUAGUAAAAAAGAGCUGGCCGGAGAUGGUGAAACUCCGGCGAAACGCCGGUAAAAAGCAGUGACCUAGCGGAGAUGAAGUUGCGAUCGUUUUUAUGUGGUUUCAGAGGGCUUUUAAUGGUGAGAAGACGCUGUGUUUUGUGAGUGAAAAUGAACGAAAAUAGGGAUGGUUUGGAGUGGUGUGAAGAAGGAACGACGUGAGGGUCGGUGUCGUUAUUGUGUUACGAUGGAAUUGGGUGGAGCUCGGCGACUGACUUCUAGGGUUGAGGUAAGUCACUGGGAGGUCGCAAGGAGGUUCAGCGACGAUGGUGAGCUGAAGGGUGGUCAUCGAUAGAGCUGCUGGACGCUGGCUGUUACGGAAGAAGAAGAGAACGACAGUGGGGUGGGUCGGGGAAGACGAUGAUCAGGGGCGAGGUCAUUUCUGUAUGGUUGUUCCUCAGCGUUUUGUUUUUCGGCCUUCUGUGUUCUCUUGUUGCUGGUUCGACGAAGUACAGGAGGGGUCAUUUUUAGAGGUAGGGUCGUUUGGAGAAGAUGACGCGCAUGGGGGGUCUGUUUUUGCGCAGCAUUUGUGUGUAUUUCAGCCCUCAACGUUUUUUUGUUCCUUCCACCUCUCUUCUU